GCCAUUUAAAACAAUCUUACCAGUGUAUAACAGAAACUGUCUAAAUUCAGUUGCCUUCCACCGGUCAACAUCAGCUAAACCCCUUGGCUUUCGUGCAAAUGUAUUAGGUAUGCAAGACUUAAGAUCUAACAAUUUACUACUAAUGGUUUCCACUUGACCAGCUGAUAUUUUUACUUCACGUUUUCCUCGCAUCCAGGUCAAAAUUAAUUUCCUCAUGACUCCUAAACACAGUUGAUGCAUG